CCCCCAGCCUUUUUCUUUGGAGUAAAGGCAGAGCUACUGAUGAGCUGCUCAGUGUGGAGAUGAAGCAGUGUGUGGAGCAGCACACAGCAGGAACCAAGACUGAUGUCAGUGUUGCUUGACUGGUGUGGAGAACUGGAGUCCACCUGCUGGGAUGUGACCUGGCACUUCUGCUCAGCCUGAGUUUGAGGAUGAAAUUUAAACUGUCAAACAUUGAUUACAUCAACUUUACUGAAAUGUAAAAUCUGUGAUGGUUGAAUAAAAUUUGAAAAAUCUGCA